GAAGAAAGGCUUGGUAGAUAAGUAGUAUGGGUUAUGUUAUGUAAUAUAUGUGAUAUGUAAUGAACUAUUUUCAACUUUUAUGUUGGUCAAGAUUUUAAAUCCCGACUGUUGUAGUCACAAAGGGAUACUUAUAUUCUUUCAGCUUAUAUAUAUAAUUGCUAUUACUUGUUGGGCACUCAAAUGCUCAUCCUUGCUUAAACUAAAUGUUUUCAGUUACGUACGAUCGACCUGAAGGCUCAGGCACGAACAAGGGAAAAGAAAAGCUGUUCGAAUGAGAUUUAGUAUGAGUUAAUGGUUAUAGUUAGUAAGACAAUGGAAUCUAUUGUCAGGUAUUGUAAGGAAUGUAUUUGAAGGUCACGUACCUGGGGAAGUAAACUUUGAUGUAUGUAAAUUAAGUUCGAAUGUAUUAUUAUUUAGUAUUAUUCAGCUUAAAGAAAUGGUAUCGUGGAGAACCGAGUUCGGGUUGCAAGUACCCGGAUUUGGGGUCGCCACAGGUUGAAUGACAUUCCUCUUUCUGUGGCAUUUCCUGAUUCCUUUUCUAUUGACUAUAUUAUGAGUAUCCUUCUUUAGUCAACACAUAAUUUGUCUUAAAUUUCCUUUCUUUCUUUCUUUUUAAUAUAUUGUGAUUUGACAUUUUGUUUUCAGAGCGAGAAGAUGAAAGAUUUGCCUUUGCCUAUUGAGGCACUCGCUUUAUUUGAUGCUCUCCAUCUGGAUGUUACCCACUCGCCAUAUAGUGACCUUGGUUAUCCUCCAGGUGGCCAAGGUUUCGAGGAAUCAUCAGCCAUACAGCAUCUUUCUGCUCCUCCAUCCCUGGACUCGACAAAUUCAAUGGUGG
rnacentral:lncRNA from 1 species